CUCUGGGUAAACAUAUUUUAAAUCAAUGGCGGAUAAUUCAAAUUGGGUCAUAUAAGGGGUGUAAAUUGUUCAUGUAGGCUAAUUUUUCAUAUGUUUGCUAUCAUGCCAGACAAUUUCAAACAUAUAAACCAACUUACAUGUUAUAUUGAUGUUGGUGUUUGUUGAAUAUGUUUGUUUAAAUGACUGACCUAUGGUUGACAAUAAAAAACCUUCAAGAAAAUCUUAAAAAAGAGGGGGAGGCGGGGUAGUGACAUAAUUUUUUUUUUUUUUUUUUGCACAAAAAAAUUAGAAAUAGAGAGGCACUAACAUCAAAGAAUAUUGGUAUGGAUACUUCAAAUGAUUUUC
rnacentral:lncRNA from 1 species